rnacentral:rRNA from 1 species
GUAGUCUGCAACUCGACUACAUGAAGCUGGAAUCGCUAGUAAUCGCGAAUCAGAAUGUCGCGGUGAAUACGUUCCCGGGUCUUGUACACACCGCCCGUCACACCAUGGGAGUCAGUAACGCCCGAAGUCAGUGACCCAACCGAACAGGAGGGAGCUGCCGAAGGUGGGACCGAUAACUGGGGUGAAGUCGUAACAAGGUAUC